rnacentral:rRNA from 1 species
UCUACCUUUUAGUGGGGGAUAGCCUUUGGAAACGAAGGGUAAUACCGCGUAAGGUCUACAUUAUCGCAUGAGAAGUAGAAGAAAGUUCCGUUUGGAACGCUGAAAGAUGAGGAUGCGUCGCAUUAGGUAGUAGGCGGGGUAACGGCCCACCUAGGCAAUGAUGCGUAGCCGAACUGAGAGGUUAAUCGGCCACAUUGGGACUGAGAUUCGGCCCAGACUCUUACGGGAGGCAGCAGUAGGGAAUUUUUCACAAUGGACGAAAGUCUGAUGAAGCAAUGCCGCGUGAGUGAUGAAGGUCUUC